rnacentral:rRNA from 1 species
AGUGAACGCUGGCGGUAGGCCUAACACAUGCAAGUCGAACGGCAGCACAGGAGAGCUUGCUCUCUGGGUGGCGAGUGGCGGACGGGUGAGGAAUACAUCGGAAUCUACUUUUUCGUGGGGGAUAACGUAGGGAAACUUACGCUAAUACCGCAUACGACCUACGGGUGAAAGCAGGGGACCUUCGGGCCUUGCGCGAUUGAAUGAGCCGAUGUCGGAUUAGCUAGUUGGCGGGGUAAAGGCCCACCAAGGCGACGAUCCGUAGCUGGUCUGAGAGGAUGAUCAGCCACACUGGAACCGAGGCACGGUCCAGACUCCUACGGGAGGCAGCAGUGGGGAAUAUUGGUCAAUGGGCGCAAGCCUGAUCCAGCCAUACCGCGUGGGUGAAGAAGGCCUUCGGGUUGUAAAGCCCUUUUGUUGGGAGAGAAAUCCAGCUGGCUAAUACCCGGUUGGGAUGACGGUACCCAAAGAAUAAGCACCGGCUAACUUCGUGCCAGCAGCCGCCGUAA